AUAUCAGUCAUGCAUAGCAUAUCAAUAAGCGGAGGAAAAGAAACUAACAAGGAUUCCCCUAGUAACGGCGAGUGAAGCGGGAAGAGCUCAAAUUUGAAAUCUUAAAAGGUUUUCCUUUUACGAAUUGUAGUUUAAAGAAGUGUUUUCUGUUAAAAUUUUAGUAAAAGUUCUUUGGAAUAGGACAUCAUAGAGGGUGAGAAUCCCGUAUUUGACUAGAAUUUUUUUAACUUUGUGAUACACUUUCAAAGAGUCGGAUUGUUUGGGAAUGCAGUCCAAAAUGGGUGGUAAAUUUCAUCUAAAGCUAAAUAUUGGCGAGAGACCGAUAGCGAACAAGUACCGUGAGGGAAAGAUGAAAAGAACUUUGAAAAGAGAGUUAAAUAGUACGUGAAAUUGUCAAAAGGGAAGCGUUUGGCACCAGUGUUGUUUUUCUAAAAAUCAAUUUAAAAUUUACUUAUGUUAAGUAUUUUAGACUUUAUCAGCUAUAUAUUUAAUUUUUUGUAAUUUUUGAAUGCACUUUUUAGUUAACAAGUCAACAUCAAUUUCUUUUGUUGUAAAAAAAUAAGAGGAAGGUGGCUUGGAAUUUAUUUUCAAGUGUUUAUAGCCUUUUAUUUAUGCAAUAGGAGGGAUUGAGGUCUGCAGCAUAGAUCCUUCGGGGCUAGAUGCAUUUGUGCUAGAAGCCAGUAUUAUAUAAACAACUUGUUGAUUAUAUAAUAUGUUGAUUUCUACUCGCAGGUGUUAUUUUACCUACGCUUAGGAUGUUGACACACGCGCGUGCUCGGCUCUAUACAUGACUCUGUGCAUAUCAAUAAGCGGAGGAAAAGGCUGCGGAACUGAACGACCGCUACCUACGCUUAGGAUGUUGAUCUACAGAGCGAGAGU
rnacentral:rRNA from 1 species